ensembl:snRNA U6 U6 spliceosomal RNA
GUGCUCACUUUGGCAGCACAUGUACUAAAAUUGGAAUGAUACAGAGAAGAUUAGCAUGGCCCCCGUGCAAAGAUGACAUGCAAAUCCAUGAACCAUUCCAUAUUAAA